CCGGCGUAUGGGUGAGUAACACGUAUGCAACCUGCCUGCCACAGCCGGAUAAUCGGGAGAAAUCCCGUCUAAUACGGCAUAAUGCAUCGACGGGACAUCCUGUUGGUGCCAAAGGUUAAUUCCGGUGGCGGAUGGGCAUGCGUCGCAUUAGUUAGUUGGCGGUGUAACGGACCACCAAGACGACGAUGCGUAGGGGUUCUGAGAGGAAGGUCCCCCACACUGGUACUGAGACACGGACCAGACUCCUACGGGAGGCAGCAGUGAGGAAUAUUGGUCAAUGGGCGGGAGCCUGAACCAGCCAAGUCGCGUGAGGGAUGACGGCCCUAUGGGUUGUAAACCUCUUUUGCCGGGGAGCAAAGUGCCGCACGUGUGCGGUUUGGAGAGUACCCGGAGAAAAAGCAUCGGCUAACUCCGUGCCAGCAGCCGCGGUAAUACGGAGGAUGCGAGCGUUAUCCGGAUUUAUUGGGUUUAAAGGGUGCGUAGGCGGACGCUUAAGUCAGCGGUAAAAUUGCGGGGCUCAACCUCGUCGAGCCGUUGAAACUGGGUGCCUUGAGUGGGCGAGAAGUACGCGGAAUGCGUGGUGUAGCGGUGAAAUGCAUAGAUAUCACGCAGAACUCCGAUUGCGAAGGCAGCGUACCGGCGCCCAACUGACGCUG
rnacentral:rRNA from 1 species